rnacentral:rRNA from 1 species
ACGGAAGGCAGCAGUGGGGAAUAUUGGACAAUGGGGGAAACCCUGAUCCAGCGACGCCGCGUGAGUGAAGAAGUAUUUCGGUAUGUAAAGCUCUAUCAGCAAGGAAGAAAAUGACGGUACUUGACUAAGAAGCUCCGGCUAAAUACGUGCCAGCAGCCGCGGUAAUACGUAUGGAGCAAGCGUUAUCCGGAUUUACUGGGUGUAAAGGGAGCGUAGACGGUAAAGCAAGUCUGAAGUGAAAUCCCGGGGCUCAACCCCGGAACUGCUUUGGAAACUGUUUAACUAGAGAGCAGGAGAGGUAAGCGGAAUUCCUAGUGUAGCGGUGAAAUGCGUAGAUAUUAGGAGGAACACCAGUGGCGAAGGCGGCUUACUGGACUGUAACUGACGUUGAGGCUCGAAAGCGUGGGGAGCAAACAGGAUUAGAUACCCUGGUA